UACGAGGGGGGCAAAUGUUGUUCGGAAUCACUGGGCGUAAAGGGAGCGUAGGCGGGUUUCUAAGUCAGGUGUUUAAUCCCGGGGCCCAACCCCGGACAGGCACUUGAAACUGGGAAUCUUGAAUAGUGGAGAGGUCAGUGGAAUUGGGGGUGUAGCGGUGGAAUGCGUAGAGAUCCCCAAGAACACCAGUUGCGAAGGCGGCUGACUGGACACAUAUUGACGCUGAGGCUCGGAAAGCAUGGGGAGCAAACAGG
rnacentral:rRNA from 1 species